UACGUAGGGGGCAAGCGUUGUCCGGAAUCAUUGGGCGUAAAGAGCGCGUAGGCGGCCCAGUCAGUCCGCUCUGAAAGUCAGGGGCUUAACCCCUGAAUGCGGGUGGAUACUGCUGGGCUAGAGUCCGGAAGAGGCGAGUGGAAUUCCUGGUGUAGCGGUGAAAUGCGCAGAUAUCAGGAGGAACACCGGUGGCGAAGGCGGGUCUCUGGGCAGUAACUGACGCUGAGGAGCGAAAACGUGGGGAGCGGACAGG
rnacentral:rRNA from 1 species